ACGAGAAAGUCUCCGCAAGGGGAUGAGUAAAGUGGCGACCGGGUGAGUAACACGUAGCUAACCUACCCUCAAGUGGGGGAUAACCUGGGGAAACCUGGGCUAAUACCGCAUAACAUCCCGAUGACGGCAGUCAUGGGGAGCAAAGGCCCGCAAGGGCCGCUGGAGGAGGGGGCUGCGGCCGAUUAGCUAGUUGGUGAGGUAAUGGCCCACCAAGGCGAUGAUCGGUAGCCGGCCUGAGAGGGCGCACGGCCACACUGGCACUGAAACACGGGCCAGACUCCUACGGGAGGCAGCAGUGGGGAAUUUUGCACAAUGCCCGAAAGGGUGAUGCAGCAACGCCGCGUGAGGGAUGAAGGCCUUCGGG
rnacentral:rRNA from 1 species